UAGGGAAUCUUCCACAAUGGACGCAAGUCUGAUGGAGCAACGCCGCGUGAGUGAAGAAGAUCUUCGGAUCGUAAAACUCUGUUGUUAGAGAAGAACACGAGUGAGAGUAACUGUUCAUUCGAUGACGGUAUCUAACCAGCAAGUCACGGCUAACUACGUGCAAG
rnacentral:rRNA from 1 species